rnacentral:misc_RNA from 1 species
GAUGAAGAACGUAGCGAAAUGCGAUAAGUAAUGUGAAUUGCAGAAUUCAGUGAAUCAUCGAAUCUUUGAACGCACAUUGCGCCCCUUGGUAUUCCGAGGGGCAUGCCUGUUCGAGCGUCAUUACACCACUCAAGCACUGCUUGGUAUUGGGCAUCGUCCGUCGAAAGGCGGGCGUGCCUCGAAGACCUCGGCGGGGUUUCUCCAACUUCGGGCGUAGUAGAGUUAAAUCGAACGUCUUAUAAGCUUGGUGGGAUUCCAUUGCCGUUAAACCUUUUAUUUUCUAGGUUGACCUCGGAUCAGGUAGGGAUACCCGCUGAACUUAAGCAUAUCAAUAAGCGGAGGA